rnacentral:rRNA from 1 species
CAAUAGCGUAUAUUAAAGUUGUUGCAGUUAAAAAGCUCGUAGUCGGAUUUUGGCAUCACGCCGAACUGUCAGCCGAUUGGUUUGUACGGUUUGGCGGGUGCUCUCCUUCCGGAAGCUCGUUCCCUUCUUAGUUGACGGGUUCGAUGGUUCCGGGUCUUUUACUUUGAAAAAAUUAGAGUGUUCAAAGCAGGCCUAUGCUCUGAAUAGGUUAGCAUGGAAUAAUAGAAUAGGACUUUGGUUCUAUUUUGUUGGUUUCUAGGACCGAAGUAAUGAUUAAUAGGGACAGUUGGGGGCAUUCAUAUUCCAAUGUCAGAGGUGAAAUUCUUGGAUUAUCGGAAGAUGAACUUCUGCGAAANCANNNGCCAAGGAUGUUUUCAUNGA